GUCAGAAGAGAGCUAAAAUGGCGGAGGUUGUGAGUUCCUGCUUUGACCCUGUUUGCAAGCUCUUGUUUCAUUGUUUAAGCGAUUAAAUCUCUCGAGUAGACGCUGUCUCUUUAGAUGCGAGGGCAAAAUAGCACUUUAUGGACUUCCACAGAGGACAUCAUGUUUAAUACGGUUCCGGAAAAAUCCAGUCAGAAGUUGUUCACGGAGUUUUCACAAUAACUGCUUCUCAUGAACCGAAGCUGGAUUUGCGCGAAGUCUCCUCUUGAAAUUUGGAUUACUGCACUUCUGGAUCACAGGCUAUUCGCAGCUGGACACAUCCUUCUACACUGUAUGCAAACAUGCAACAUCAUUACACACAGUACAAGGAGUCAGACUGGCAUAUGAGGAGCAAAGGAACCCAGGCAGUAGCAUCGUUUCACAAUGUUUCCAUCACCAUCAUCAGUGGAUGCCUUUGCUGUCCGUAGCCUGAGAUUUCAGAUUUGCAGCAAAAAAAAUUUAUUUUCUCAUUUAUUGGAAUGCUGUGCAGGUAUUUGUACCUUGCAGCCAUCCAUUACAAUGUCACCAAGCCGUAACAAAAGCAGGAGAGGGAAAGUACAAGGCUAUGUUCCCAAAACACACAAGUGACAUACCUUAUGUGGAUGAUGUGAUCAGGCUUGUGUUUGAUGAGGUAUUUGAAGAUAAGCUGAAGGAAGCCCUGAUUCCAAUGGACCUGGCAUCACAGUUUGAGAGACCUUCAAAGGAGGACGUGAUUGCAUGCCAUCUUCAGUGCAG